GUCAGUGUCAGCACGGAUCCUCUUUCAGGGUUGGGGAUACAGCAGUCGGCAAGCCAGUUGGGCCUUUAAAACGAUCAUGAGACAACAAAUAUUCAUUCAGUCAUCCGGAGGGCCCUCCACGCUUGGAGUCGCCGGCCACCUCCUCCAGGCAGGACCUGCCGAUCGCCUCCCUGUGUCUCCCCGGGGUCAAACGAGUUCAUCUGGUCUGUAGCUCAGCCCCGAAGGGCUUUGCCUCAGAAGAUGUGUGGCUCUUUGCCUCCUACUGGGUCUGGCUGUCUACCCCAGUCUCCCUUUCCACCUUUCAGCCGGUGAGUGGGGUCCCCAUAUUUCUUUCCUCCACCUGGGACGCCCCCAUAGUCAUCUGGCUUGUCCCCCACGUUUCCCUCUAGGCUCUGCUCAAGCGUCAGAAAAGCCCUCCCGGACCAUCUCUGUCCCCUGGGAGCGGCCUUAUCUUGCACCGCAGCCCUCCUUUGAACAUCCUUUUGUUUAGCUAUUUAUGGUCUGUUUCCUCUUGGAGAAAGUGAGCUCCAUGGCGACAGGGACAGCCUUCCGGCACAGCUGUACGUUCCAAUCUCCAUUUCACAGAUCCGCAGACGACAACGAGGCCCGGCCCAGCGUAGAUUGGCACAGGGCAAGGACGGUUCGUCGAACGAAUGCUCGAGCCGCAUCUCAAGCGGCCAGAAGGGCGCCAGGCCGCCCCCUGGUGGCCAGGGCGAACGUGGGCCCGCUCGGCGGCCAAAUUUCCCACCACGGCUUCUCGUAGCCUGAUAACGACGGACUAAUGCGAGAACUUAACUCCGUUUCACAUAUAACCACAAGAAAGAGGGAGUGAGAGAAAGAGCUGAGGAGGGGCAGAGCAUCCAAAGCGGGCUCAGCCCUGACAGCGGAGACCCCCGGAUGCGGGGCUCAGACUUCCUAACCGUGAGAUCAUGACCCGAGCCGAAACCUGACGCUUUUAACCCGCCGAGCCACCCAGGCGCCCCUCAAAAUCCUUUGAAACGUUGUGGACACGAAGGCACGACGUACCUACUUUUGUAAAACCCACGGAACCCCGAGUGCAGAAGCCCUGGGGGGAGAAACCAAACAUGACAGGUCCCCCGCCUCCUACCAGGACCCCCUGGGGACCCCCUUCUACUGACUCUCUCCCGGGCCAUCAUUAUCCUCAAGUCUACCAACAGAGAUUUAGUUGUGCCUGUUCUAGAACUUCAUGCAAAUAGAAUCAAACCGUACGUGC